rnacentral:misc_RNA from 1 species
AUUAGCGGGGUCCUCUUUGCCGAUCCUCGACAUGUGAUAAGAUGUUUCCAUGUCUUGGCUUUAUGGCUCUGUUGCCUUUGGGACCCGCUUCUAACCGUCUCAGCGAGACAACGUUCGAGCGUGUCUCCCCUCUCGGGGAAACGCUCUUGAACCCACGAAACCUUGACCUCAAAUCGGGUGAGACUACCCGCUGAACUUAA